rnacentral:misc_RNA from 1 species
AACGCACCUUGCGCUCCUUGGUAUUCCGAGGAGCAUGCCUGUUUGAGUGUCAUUAAACUAUCAACCUUUCCUACUUUUAUUAGUAAGGUCAGGCUUGGAUAUGGGAGUUGCAGGCUUUGCAAUAAGUCGGCUCUCCUUAAAUUCAUUAGCAGAACCUUUGUGAAACAGCUAUUGGUGUGAUAAUUAUCUACGCCGUUGGUUGUGAAGCUUUAUAUGAGGCUCAGCUUCUAACUGUCUAUUAACUUGGACAAUUUUUGACAUUUUGACCUCAAAUCAGGUAGGACUACCCGCUGAACUCAA